rnacentral:rRNA from 1 species
GUCUGUGGUCAUAUCACCCUGAACAUGCCUGAUCUUGUCUGAUCUCAGAAGCUAAGCAGGGUCGGGCCUGGAUAGUAUUUGGAUGGGAGAUUUGAGGCCAGCAUUUACU